GCUAGGAGCUCACGGCGGCGACGGCGAUGGAAACGAUCCGCACCGAUCGUGGUGGAAGAAAAUAACAGGCUGCAAAAACAGCGGGUCGAAGAAAACACCACCACCACCAAGAGGGGCAGCCAAACAUCUAAAUCUUGAGGCUGCCUUCAAGAAAAAUGGAGGCCCAUUACCCAUGUACUUCGAUUACAAAUCAAAGACCUUUCAAUCGAUCGGGGACUACGGGGCUAUGUACAAAUCUUUGUUAGGCUCAUUGAUCGGAGAUGUCCCCCAGUACUACGAGUCAUGGGACGAUGUGCCUGAGUCUCUGAGGGACAAUAUCUUGGAGGAAAUACAGCGCUGGUUUGCGAUGGACCAGUACUUAGAGCUUGAU